AUUGAACGCUGGCGGCAGGCCUAACACAUGCAAGUUGAGCGGCAGCGGGACCUUCGGGUUGCCGGCGAGCGGCGGACGGGUGAGUAAUGCCUAGGAAUCUGCCUGUUAGUGGGGGAUAACGCGGGGAAACUCGCGCUAAUACCGCAUACGUCCUACGGGAGAAAGCGGGGGCUCUUCGGACCUCGCGCUAACAGAUGAGCCUAGGUCGGAUUAGCUAGUUGGUGGGGGAAUGGCCCACCAAGGCGACGAUCCGUAACUGGUCUGAGAGGAUGAUCAGUCACACUGGAACUGAGACACGGUCCAGACUCCUACGGGAGGCAGCAGUGGGGAAUAUUGGACAAUGGGCGAAAGCCUGAUCCAGCCAUGCCGCGUGUGUGAAGAAGGUCUUCGGAUUGUAAAGCACUUUAAGUCAGGAGGAAGGGCUGUAGGCUAAUACCUUGCAGUUUUGACGUUACCGACAGAAUAAGCACCGGCUAACUUCGUGCCAGCAGCCGCAGUAACAC
rnacentral:rRNA from 1 species